rnacentral:rRNA from 1 species
GAUGAACGCCCGCGGCGUGCCUAAUACAUGCAAGUCGAGCGAACAGACGAGGAGCUUGCUCCUCUGACGUUAGCGGCGGACGGGUGAGUAACACGUGGAUAACCUACCUAUAAGACUGGGAUAACUUCGGGAAACCGGAGCUAAUACCGGAUAAUAUAUUGAACCGCAUGGUUCAAUAGUGAAAGACGGUUUUGCUGUCACUUAUAGAUGGAUCCGCGCCGCAUUAGCUAGUUGGUAAGGUAACGGCUUACCAAGGCAACGAUGCGUAGCCGACCUGAGAGGGUGAUCGGCCACACUGGAACUGAGACACGGUCCAGACUCCUACGGGAGGCAGCAGUAGGGAAUCUUCCGCAAUGGGCGAAAGCCUGACGGAGCAACGCCGCGUGAGUGAUGAAGGUCUUCGGAUCGUAAAACUCUGUUAUUAGGGAAGAACAAAUGUGUAAGUAACUAUGCACGUCUUGACGGUACCUAAUCAGAAAGCCACGGCUAACUACGUG